UUACGCUGUUAUCCCUAAGGUAAUUUAGUCUUAUAAUCAACAAAAGGUGGGUCAAAUAUAUAUAAAUAAAUAUAAAAAAAAAUAAAAAGAGUUAAUUAAAUCUUUCCAUCACCCCAACAAAAUAAAUUUUCAAAUUAAAAAAAUAUCAUACAAAAAAAUAAAAAUAUAUAUAAACUCUAUAGGGUCUUCUCGUCCCAAAAAAAUAUUUAGGCAUUUUAACCUAAAAUUUAAAUUCAAUAAAUAAAUUAAAGACAGUUUACACCUCGUCAAACCAUUCAUUCCAGCCUACAAUUAAAAGACUAAUGAUUAUGCUACCUUUGCACGGUCAAAAUACCGCGGCCCUUCAAUAUUCAGUGGGCAGGCCAUACAUCAAAAUAUAUUCAAGAAGAGAUGUUUUUGAUAAACAGGCG
rnacentral:rRNA from 1 species